rnacentral:lncRNA from 1 species
CGAUCUCCAGAUAUAUAAGUAUAGCUCAGUGACUAUAUCACAGAACAGGCGGUGGUCGCACUACGACCGCAAUGCAUUAUUUUUUGGUUUUCUUCAAGAUGGCGGAUUCGGAAGAGAAAGACAGGUAAGUUUUGAAUUGAUUUUCUAUUUCUAUUCAGAGUUUUUACUUUGCAAUUCUGACUAAAAAGAAAGCUACACAUCAGAACGUUAUCUCUUCGUACUAUUUAAAUCGACAACGUUUGGAAUUCUAUCAAAAAUAUCAUGUCAUUUCAAACCCUUUUAUUUUGCCCGAUUUCAAAGGUGUCUUUAUAUUUGCAUAUAGCAGGUUAACUGUGCAUGAACCAGGUUCGAGUUUCUACUUUAUGUGAUCUACGAUAAUUAUUCGUGUCCUUUAUAUGAUCGCGCCCUCUAGCGCCCCUUGAAUUUGUACCUUUUGGGGACAUUCAUUUCAUGCUAUUUUCUGUGCUGAUUUUAGGUCUUUCUGCGAAGAUCUGUCAAGUUCUACUGCCAUGUUGGGAAAGCGGUCAUGCAUUCCAGAGGGGAAUACGCCUGGGGAAAAAAAGACAAAGAGAAACGGGAAAGGCAACACAGUGAAAAAGUCAUUGUUUGAUAAUAACAUGAUUCAGGGAGAUGGCCAAAAAUUUGUCAAUGGUACUGUUUGGGUGACUGCAGAAUUGGCUGCAUUGGUUCAGCACAUAUGCUUGUAUUGGGAUGAUGCAUACACUGAUAAAUGGCCAAAAACAAAAAACAUGAAAUUUUGGAAUGAAUGUGCGGUAUCUGUCAAUAAAAUGUG